rnacentral:rRNA from 1 species
GACGAACCGUGCAAACGUUAUUCGGAAUUACUGGGCUUAAAGGGUGCGUAGGCGGCGGUGCAAGUUGGGUGUGAAAUCCCUCGGCUCAACCGAGGAACUGCGCUCAAAACUGCAUCGCUUGAGGGAGAUAGAGGUGAGUGGAACUUCGGGUGGAGCGGUGAAAUGCGUUGAUAUCCUAAGGAACACCAGUGGCGAAAGCGACUCACUGGGUCUCGUCUGACGCUGAGGCACGAAAGCUAGGGUAGCGAACGGG